UACGGGGGGGGCAAGCGUUGUUCGGAAUUACUGGGCGUAAAGCGCACGUAGGCGGUCAGGCAAGUCGGGUGUGAAAGCCCUGGGCUCAACCUGGGAAUUGCAUUCGAAACUAUCUGACUCGAGUAUGGGAGAGGGAAGCGGAAUUUCCGGUGUAGCGGUGAAAUGCGUAGAUAUCGGAAGGAACACCAGUGGCGAAGGCGGCUUCCUGGACUAAUACUGACGCUGAGGUGCGAAAGCGUGGGGAGCAAACAGG
rnacentral:rRNA from 1 species